rnacentral:rRNA from 1 species
GACGAACGCUGGCGGCGUGCUUAACACAUGCAAGUCGAACGGAAAGGCCCUGCUUUUGUGGGGUGCUCGAGUGGCGAACGGGUGAGUAACACGUGAGUAACCUGCCCUUGACUUUGGGAUAACUUCAGGAAACUGGGGCUAAUACCGGAUAGGAGCUCCUGCUGCAUGGUGUGGGUUGGAAAGUUUCGGCGGUUGGGGAUGGACGCGCGGCUUAUCAGCUUGUUGGUGGGGUAGUGGCUUACCAAGGCUUUGACGGGUAGCCGGCCUGAGAGGGUGACCGGCCACAUUGGGACUGGGAUACGGCCCAGACUCCUACGGGAGGCAGCAGUGGGGAAUAUUGCACAAUGGGCGGAAGCCUGAUGCAGCAACGCCGCGUGCGGGAUGACGGCCUUCGGGUUGUAAACCGCUUUCGCCUGUGACGAAGCGUGAGUGACGGUAAUGGGUAAAGAAGCACCGGCUAACUACGUG